rfam:Halostagnicola sp. A56, whole genome shotgun sequence.
GCCAGGGGAGCAUGGGUGGUUCAUGCACUCGACUUGUAAUCGAGACUCCCGGGGUUCAAAUCCCUGCUCUGGCU